CUACUUAGAUAUAAAGGUACUCUAUGUCCCAUUCAUCAGUCCUGUGGAGAGGAUGCCAAUGUUCGAGAGAGUUUUCGUCCCUGCUCUUCGGACCCUCAUUUGGGCUUCUUUUAUGUGACAAAUAGAAGGAUUAGGGGUCACAUCAGCAAAUGAUUCUGGUGGUUGUGAAAAUCAUGCCCUGAACACAAUUUAUGGGAAAUGAAAAUUCUCUGAAGGCAUUCCCCUGUUACCAGGAAGGUUGUUUGAGAUCUGCUGUCCCCUCAGAGCUGGGGAACUUUCCAGGCCCAGGUCUCAUGUUGUCACAGUUUUCUCAAAUAAAAAAUGAAGGCACAAUAGAGCCCUACCCCCAAAUACUAUAACAAACAACAAGCCAGGUACCAAAGAACACGUGUGAUUCUGAGAACUUCCUACCAUCACUGUUGCUUCUAUCUCUCCAGCUGUCUCCUAUUACUACUGCAGUUCUGGCAAUGUCUUGAACACCCAUCCAUGAUCCUACCACCUUUCACUGUCUCCCACUCUCCCAGUGCUUUCCCCCAACUUCCCUCCUUACCAACUUAAGGUCACGGUUACUCAUUAGAUCACUUCCCUGCAGAAACCUUCGGUUCCCUUGUUCCUUCAGGCUGUGUUGAACUUUCUUAACUAAAGCCCAAGCCCCUACACAAAGAUGUGUGGAGAAGGUUCAUAGCAGCAUUAUUCCUAAUAGCCAAAAAGUAUAAAUGAUUGAAAUGUCCAUCAGUUAGUGAAGGAUUAAACAAUGGAACAGUAUUCAGCAAUAAAAACAGACAACUACUGAUAAAUGCUAUAACAUGAAUGAACCUCAAAAACAGGCUGAGUGAAAGAAGCCAGACACUAAACUCCACAUAUGAUUGCACUUAUAUGAAAUGUCCAGAAAAGGCAAUCUAUAGAAGCAGAGAAUAGAUUAGCGGGAUGCCCGGAGACGGCAGUGGGAAUGAGGUAUCUUACUGCAGUGAUAAAAAUGUUUUAAAAUUGAACUGUGGCAAUGGUUAUACAACUUGGUAACAUUAGUAAUAAUCAUUUAAUUGUAUACUUUAAAUGGAUGAACUGGAUAUGUAAACUAUACUGCAAUAAAGUUUAAAAAAAAACACCCCGGUUAAAUUUACCUGUUUUGUGCCUCACAGUGAAGCUGUAACUAUACAAAAGUGAAGAAGAGAAAAAGCAACUACAUGGCCCCGUUUAAGGCUCCAACGGAUUCUGGAUCCUGUCUUCCAAUCACACUAUAUUUCUGUAGCUUCUGUGUCUCUCGCUCUCCUCAAUUAUUUCACACCUUCUUUCUCCUCAAAUCUCUUAUCACCUCAUCCCUUAAGCUCCUUUCUCAGCUGAUAAUCC
rnacentral:lncRNA from 10 species